UCCUGGUGGCUCAGAUGGUAAAGAAUCUGCCUGCAAUGCAGGAGACCCGGGUUUGACCCCUGGGUCAGGAA
rnacentral:tRNA from 1 species